rnacentral:rRNA from 1 species
ACUCCUACGGGAGGCAGCAGUAGGGAAUCUUCCACAAUGGGCGCAAGCCUGAUGGAGCAACACCGCGUGAGUGAAGAAGGGUUUCGGCUCGUAAAGCUCUGUUGUUAAAGAAGAACACGUAUGAGAGUAACUGUUCAUACGUUGACGGUAUUUAACCAGAAAGUCACGGCUAACUACGUGCCAGCAGCCGCGGUAAUACGUAGGUGGCAAGCGUUAUCCGGAUUUAUUGGGCGUAAAGAGAGUGCAGGCGGUUUUCUAAGUCUGAUGUGAAAGCCUUCGGCUUAACCGGAGAAGUGCAUCGGAAACUGGAUAACUUGAGUGCAGAAGAGGUAGUGGAACUCCAUGUGUAGCGGUGGAAUGCGUAGAUAUAUGGAAGAACACCGAGUGGCGAAGGCGGCUACCUGGUCUGCAACGUGACGCUGAGACUCGAAAGCAUGGGUAGCGAACAGGAUUAGAUACCCCGUGGUAGGAUAGCG